AGGACGCAGAGCUAAGGAAGCAAAUAUUUACGCCGAGAUAGAUAAAGGUAUUCAUGCUUAUGGAAUAAAAGGCUUCACCCCAUGUUUGUUCAGAGAUAACUCCUGGUUCGACAGAGAUAACUCCUUCAUGUUUCAUAGAAGCAUCUGAUGGAUUUGCUCGUAGCUCUGGAAAUGAACCCCAUCUAAUCAUCUAUCGCAUUUAUAAGGAUGUUGGAUGUUCACGUUCGGUGUGUCAGUUGCAGGCGACUUUGAUCUCAUAUGCCUGUCUUUCCUCCUUGACUUCGCUAUAUUGCUUCUCUCCCCA